CAAAUCUAAGCCACAAACAGACAUUGUU
rnacentral:piRNA from 1 species